GUUUGAUGGCGACCGGCGCACGGUGAGUAACACGUAUCCAACCUGCCGAUGACUCGGGGAUAGCCUUUCGAAAGAAAGAUUAAUACCCGAUGGCAUAGUUCUUCCGCAUGGUUUCAUUAUUAAAGGAUUCCGGUAAAGGAUGGGGAUGCGUUCCAUUAGGUUGUUGGUGGGGUAACGGCCCACCAAGCCUUCGAUGGAUAGGGGUUCUGAGAGGAAGGUCCCCCACAUUGGAACUGAGACACGGUCCAAACUCCUACGGGAGGCAGCAUG
rnacentral:rRNA from 1 species